UACGUAGGGGGCAAGCGUUGUCCGGAAUCAUUGGGCGUAAAGCGCGCGUAGGCGGCUACUUAAGUCGGAUGUGAAAGCCCCUGGCUCAACUGGGGAAGUGCACCCGAAACUGAGUGGCUUGAGUACUAAAGAGGGUCGCGGAAUUCCCGGUGUAGAGGUGAAAUUCGUAGAUAUCGGGAGGAACACCAGUGGCGAAGGCGGCCAUCUGGACAGGUACUGACGCUGAGACGCGAAAGCGUGGGUAGCAAACAGG
rnacentral:rRNA from 1 species